ACCAGCACAGCCAGAUCCUGCAGCUGGGAGAGGAGCCCCAGGCCCGGGAUACCCAAGUGUUCAUUCAGUGAUCAGAACAGAACACAGACAACUCACCAUGGAAUUUGUACUGGGCUGGAUUUUCCUUCUUGCUCUUUUAAAAGGUGUCCAGUGUGAGAUGCAGUUGGUGGAAUCUGGGGGAGACCUAGUGAAGCCUAGUGGGUCCCUGAGACUCUCCUGUGCAGCCUCUGGUUUCACCUUCAGCAGCUACUACAUGAACUGGUUUCGCAAGCCUCCAGGGAAGGGGCUGCAGUGGGUCGCAUAUAUUAGCUAUGAUGGAAGCAGCACAAGCUAUGCAGACUCUGUGAAGGGCCAAUUCACCAUCUCCAGAGACAACGGCAAGAACACGCUGUAUCUGCAGAUGAACAGCCUGAGAGCCAAGGACACGGCCAUGUAUUACUUGCAACAGACACAGUGAGGGGA